rnacentral:piRNA from 1 species
UACCUAAAUGAACUGUAGUGCUAGGGAACU